AAUGAAUUGCCUGAUAAAAGGAUUACUUUGAUAGAGUAAAUUAUGUAAUAUAAUUACCUUCAUUA
rnacentral:tRNA from 2 species